CGCUAGCUACAGGCUUAACACAUGCAAGUCGAGGGGCAGCAUGGUCUUAGCUUGCUAAGGCCGAUGGCGACCGGCGCACGGGUGAGUAACACGUAUCCAACCUGCCGUCUACUCUUGGACAGCCUUCUGAAAGGAAGAUUAAUACAAGAUGGCAUCAUGAGUCCGCAUGUUCACAUGAUUAAAGGUAUUCCGGUAGACGAUGGGGAUGCGUUCCUUUAGAUAGUAGGCGGGGUAACGGCCCACCUAGUCUUCGAUGGAUAGGGGUUCUGAGAGGAAGGUCCCCCACAUUGGAACUGAGACACGGUCCAAACUCCUACGGGAGGCAGCAGUGAGGAAUAUUGGUCAAUGGGCGAGAGCCUGAACCAGCCAAGUAGCGUGAAGGAUGACUGCCCUAUGGGUUGUAAACUUCUUUUAUAAAGGAAUAAAGUCGGGUAUGCAUACCCGUUUGCAUGUACUUUAUGAAUAAGGAUCGGCUAACUCCGUGUCAGCAGCCGCGGUAAUACGGAGGAUCCGAGCGUUAUCCGGAUUUAUUGGGUUUAAAGGGAGCGUAGAUGGAUGUUUAAGUCAGUUGUGAAAGUUUGCGGCUCAACCGUAAAAUUGCAGUUGAUACUGGAUAUCUUGAGUGCAGUUGAGGCAGGCGGAAUUCGUGGUGUAGCGGUGAAAUGCUUAGAUAUCACGAAGAACUCCGAUUGCGAAGGCAGCCUGCUAAGCUGCAACUGACAUUGAGGCUCGAAAGUGUGGGUAUCAAACAGGAUUAGAUACCCUGGUAGUCCACACGGUAAACGAUGAAUACUCGCUGUUUGCGAUAUACGGCAAGCGGCCAAGCGAAAGCGUUAAGUAUUCCACCUGGGGAGUACGCCGGCAACGGUGAAACUCAAAGGAAUUGACGGGGGCCCGCACAAGCGGAGGAACAUGUGGUUUAAUUCGAUGAUACGCGAGGAACCUUACCCGGGCUUAAAUUGCAGAUGAAUUACGGUGAAAGCCGUAAGCCGCAAGGCAUCUGUGAAGGUGCUGCAUGGUUGUCGUCAGCUCGUGCCGUGAGGUGUCGGCUUAAGUGCCAUAACGAGCGCAACCCUUGUUGUCAGUUACUAACAGGUUCCGCUGAGGACUCUGACAAGACUGCCAUCGUAAGAUGUGAGGAAGGUGGGAUGACGUCAAAUCAGCACGGCCCUUACGUCCGGGGCUACACACGUGUUACAAUGGGGGGUACAGAGGGCCGCUACCACGCGAGUGGAUGCCAAUCCCAAAAACCUCUCUCAGUUCGGACUGGAGUCUGCAACCCGACUCCACGAAGCUGGAUUCGCUAGUAAUCGCGCAUCAGCCACGGCGCGGUGAAUACGUUCCCGGGCCUUGUACACACCGCCCGUCAAGCCAUGGGAGCCGGGGGUACCUGAAGUGCGUAACCGCGAGGAGCGCCCUAGGGUAAAACUGGUGACUGGGGCUAAG
rnacentral:rRNA from 1 species